GAAACCAGCUUCUUUGUGGAAUGGAGCGAUCACUGGAUGCCAGUAACACUACCCUACAAUGUGUAGAGGGGGAAAUGAAGGCUAGCUCAUCCAAAGGAAGCUACAGGGGAAUUUUAGAUCAGCAGAAUGCAAUUAUCCAAGUUGGAAUUGUUCCAGGACACCAAAAGCGAACUUUAAAGGUGUUUCAGGGUGUCUUCCCGUGGCAUCAAUGCCCUCCUUCCUGAGAAACACAAAGUUCAGCACCUCGAAGUGACUAUGCGAGCAUACGCAUUCGCCCUUAAAAAUUAGCAGAGGAUGUCAUGGAGGUUUUAAUAGCCACAAAUGUCUCUUAGCAUUUCCCUCCCUUAGGAAGACAAUAUCAGACUUCUGGCAUUGAUUUCUUAAAAUUAUACUGGCAAAAAGAUAAACAAAGCUCAAGAUAUAGAAAGAUAUUUUACGCUGAAAAAAAAAAACCACACUGAAACCAAAUCCUCAUAUUUCUUGGCUCACGGUAGCAGGCUGACUAGUUCCCCAAAAUGAGCUUACUGCAAAAUCACUCUGUUCUCACCACAGGCACAAUUUACCAACUGGGUGCAACAGACACCGGGCUGGCUCCUGAACUUCUCUCCUCCAAUUAAGCUGCACAACCUGUUACCAUUUUGCCAAUGGACUCUAUUUACUUAGGUUCUGCAUAACUUGCCAAGUGCUUGCUCUGCGGAAUUCCCAGCAAAGAGAAAGGAACAAUUGGGGGAAAUUUUUGUUAACAUCCUUUCUUUUAACUUUCUGUAGCAGAGGGGAAUGCAUCAACGUGGAGCAGAUGUGUUGAGACCAAAUGCUCUCUUCCUCACGAUUACAGUUGGUUAUACCUGUGGAUAGGCAAGCUAAUUCCGCAGCAAAUGUGCAAGAGAGGGUAGUACUAACGUACAAUGUGUGGUCCUGGAGGCUUUGUUCCCACGUAAUAGGGUGCUUCGUUUCACCAGAC